GCCCCGGCCGCGGUUAUGCAACGGCCGCGGAAACUUCGGAUCCUCCGAACCGCCGCGGCUUUAGUCCGGCUCCGGGGCGCGGUGCUGGGGUGGGCUGUGCUCGCCGGGAACCCCUCGUAGCCACCCGAGCCCCGUCAGCGUGACCGCCCGCCCGCCCCUCGCUUCCGUCCCGCACGAAGUUUGCGGAGGCCCUCAGGGCGCCGGGCGGGGCGUGACGGCCGAGCGUGGGACGGGGCCCGGGCACGGACCUCCCCCCGGGCCCCGCUGUGUGCCCGCCCGCGUGCCCGGCUGUGUGCCCGCCCGUCACGGCGGAACGCUGCCCGUAGCUCGGGGAACUCGGUGCGUUUCUUCUCCUUGUGACACGCGGAGAGGACUUCUGGCUACCUCGUCAGCUUUGUUUUUAAGCCGUCGUUCAGGAAACUCACGGCAAUAUUCUGGAAGCAAAAAUAUGCUUAAAAGAGUGUAGUAGCUUCACAGUGUAAUUUAGUGAUGCUUUAGAACGGGGGGAAAAAAAGAAGAGUUAAUGAGGACGUUUCGUACAGCUGCCUUAUUGAAUACCUGAGAAAAGAUUCAUCCCUGUGCUGGCAGCUUGGACAGUCUCCAAGCUAUUCUGAUUUCAGAAGAAUCCCCCUCCUCAGUAAUCAGAGAGAAAGCUUUCAGAUUCUGAGAUUCAUGGUUGAAGCCUGUACAUGAAAUCUGGGCUAAGAUCAACUCCUAGGACCACAAAUUGCUCUUCAUUUCCAGAUUUCCUUGCUCCGAUGACAUGUCUAUUCAAGGCAAGGCUCUGACAACCUCCUUCAUGGUGACAUCUCAUCUACGUUAAUUAGACCACUUCCAGAAGACAGGAUUGCACCUAGUGAAAAGCUACUGAUGAAUAUGCACAGAUGAUGUCUGUUAGAAAGAUUUCAGGAUUCCCUUGAAAAAUCUCGUGGUUCCUGUAUAACUGAGUAACAAUCAUACACUGCUAACCAGGGAAGGUGUUCACACUUUCUGCCUUCUGCCUUGGUAUGUCCUGCACAAAAGACUUUCAGCGGUCACUGACUUGAAUUUACUCACAUAUAAUUUAACAAAGCACAGCCAUACGUAAAAUGAAGGAACAAGGAAUAAAAUGUAAUAGUAAACACUGUACAUGUUUCACUGUACAAAGGUACACGUGUUUUAAUGCACCUGUUUUCACAUUCAAAAUGUGCUAUUUGUCAUGCUAAUUAAUAUUUGCUUUUGUGAGAAUUGCUUAUUGUUUAAUACCCAUAUUUUUAUGUUACAUUCCUGGUAGUAGUUUUAAAUUAGUCUAAUUUUCAACGGAACUCUGCAACUAAGGUAGGCUUAUGUAAACGUAUUUUGUUUUUUAACAAAGGGAUUAGUGCUUAAAAUUCUAUUUUCAUUCACGUACAUUUCACAGCUAUUUAUUUCUAAUGUAGUUAACAGCUUUUAACUUUGGCUGGCUCCUCAGAAUGUAUGCAAAGCAUAUCCUGUGCAGCCAACUUUGAUGUGGUUUAUUUAAUACACAGACCUGCUAUACAUUACCAAGUUUCACCAGAACAGCUUUGCCAGCAUGUCUCCCCCCCAGCCAACAUCUCCAGGCCAGUAAAACCUCAAAUGUAGACACAGUCUGCUACUAAAAAAGAACUUACGUCAGCUCAGUUUAUGUCGUUUUGUAAAUUGAUGUAAUGUCAGGAGCAAGAAGGCUUUGUGAUCAUCUACAGAUGACUGCACAGACACUCAUUUCAGGAACAGCUGCACUAAGCAAAAAACUGCAUCGAUGUUUGUGUCUCAGAGGUUGCCCUCCUUACAGCAAAGCCUAGGCAACGGGACACACAAACACUGCUCAUUAACACCAGUUCAGAGUCAGUCAAACACCUGAACAGUUUGCAGCAGUGAUCUGGAAAAAGCUGUAAUGUCUAGCUUGCAAGCAGCUAAAGCCCUAUCAGAUGUUAGCACACUGGAGAGAGAGCUGCAUGUUUCAGCUCUGCUGCUUGGUUCCCAAGAAGAUAGUGGAAUAAAGUACACAGGCAUACCAUCAGUUUGUCUCAGGUGGCUUAAAAUGGUAAUGAAAUUGAGCUUUGCUAGCACAACUCACUUUGUGCUUAAAUUAAAUAAGAAAAAAAAAUAUGUGGGAGUUGUGGUAAUUUACAUUUAUCUUGGAAAAAAAAAAUUAGUAGUAGUAUUGAAAACAAUAUUGAAACCAAUUGUGCUGCAAUAUACCAGACCCUGACCACAAAGCAAACACGGAGUGACAGCAGACUUCCUUCCCCUUAUUUAGAUAACUAAGAAAGAACAUGGUUUUACUCAUAGAGUUUCACCAGUCUGUUCCUAAUCUUGUACUUCCUUUCUUAUACUCUAUCCAUUGUUACAUUACAAAGUCACAGUAUAGGAAAUAGGUGUUCUUAUAUAAACUAGAACCAAAACAGAAUCACAUUCAUAUCUUUGAGCUCAUACAUAUACGUGUUUAUUAAUGGCAAUCUACUUAGGUCUAAUAUGUUUAAAUAUUACAUUCAAAAGACAAUUUUAAGGUGAACUCUUAGGAGUUCAAAGGAUUUUCUGUUAAAUGAGAAUCCUAGAUCUAAUCCAAAAUUUGGAUACUGAUAGAUGUGUGUGUAAAUCUGAACUAACUUCAUACGUGUUUCAAUUAAAACAGCUUUCCCCAUAGAAUUCAAGAAACAAAUCAAAUUAAUCAGAAAGCCAGAUGAAGGGUGAAAGAAUAUUCAGUACAUUAAAAGCUUGCAGGAACGUGUGACAGGGACAAGCAGAAGUACAAGAAGUUAAGCUUGUAGGGGAGUGUAAAUGUGUUUUAGAGACGGGAAAUCAAUUAAAACUCGGGUCAGUAUAUUUUACAGAAUGGACUGCAGUCAUACACAGCUCAUUCAAAAAGAUAUAAACAACAGGAAGAAGAAAAGCACGGCUUUGUGAGUUUACUCAGCACUUAAAGGAAUAUAAAGGUUUACAACCCUGAACAAACCAAGUCAUCCCGAGUUUAAAUAACUUAAUGCUCUUUGCUAAAUGUUUUAACAAAUUGAUUAGCAAGUUCAAAGGAAACAAAAUGCCAACCAGUGGUUUGCAUUGCUUUGAAAUACUGAAAGUUUUAUCGUUUUAGUUUAAAAUUGAUCAUGAAUUUGGAAAAUGCAAAGCGAAAUACAGUUCAAGCAGAGUCUUGAGACUGUGAACAAUUCUUAAUGAAAGACAAAUACUGAAAAUGAUUGUACAGUGUACCUCCUCCAUAGUGAAUUAAAAACAAUUAAACUUUCUGCCCCCUGCUGUUUAAACCAGGUAUUUCUGCACUUCUACAGUCACAGAAGUAGAGAUGGAAGCAACGUUCCUGCAAAGCAUCAUUCUCCCCACAUACAAACCUGCAUGGGAACACGUUAUUGAGGGCUGAGUCUAACUCUGCUUUUCAGGAAACUGUCUAUCUUAUGCUUCCAAUACUUGGACUUUUAGUUCUGUUAUGCACUUAGAAGUCUGCACCAACACAAUAUUCACCUGAAUUUAGUAGUAUAUAAAAAAAAAAAAUGCCAAGGAUCCACUUGCCAACUGCUUACAUCACAAAACGAAAAGUUACUAGAAGUACAAAGGAAAGGCAGUUAUUUUGGACAAAAUUAUUGUUUUUUAAGAAAAAACAUUCAAAAUGUUCUGUAGCAAGGUUAAUAGGCAAUAUCUUCUGUACUUAAUAGGCUUCUAAAAUGAAAUAAUGUGCUCAACUUCCUCACAGCAUACUCAGAAUUUAAUAUUUGUGAAUUCCUUCAAUGUUAAAACACACCACCAUCUACAAAACAAAUCUAGUCAGUCACUUUCUUCAAAGGGAUGUAACUUCUUGAGAGAUAAUCUGCAAUUAUUAUUUUUUUGUUAUAAAUAAACACCUAUUCCAGAUUUACAAAAGGCUUUUAAAAAAAGGCUUCAAAUUUAACUUUUUUCUUAGAUAAUGUAGAAAUAAAAGGGGACAAAUACCUAUAAAAUAAGAUGGGUUAAAAGUAGUAAAAGUAACAGUGAAAGGAGACAUAAAAAUCUUCCAGGAUGCGUAUCUAAAUCUUGUAUAUUUACUACCAUGAACAAAGACUAUGGCUAUACUGAGGAGAGAUGAAAUAAAGAGAAAAUACCAAUCUACAUAUAGAUUGGUUUUAUAUUUCUCCUGAAAAUACAGGCCAGUUACAUCAAAAUAAACAAAGCCCAAAAAAUCAGAAUCAGAAGUUAUAACUUUUGAGCAUAUUUAAUUACCACAUGCUAUAUGAGAGGGAAAAAAAUCAACGUAGAUGGCAAUUGAAACACUUUGCUAUGGGGAAGAAAAUCACCUUGUAGACAUGCUACAUAAAACAAUUAAACACUUAGAGAAUAAGCAACUCCAAAUUUGAGAAAACAGACUUUUUUUUUGUUAAGUGGUAGUUACUUAUUGAUUGAAGCACUUUUGCCAUGCAGGUAGUAUUUUUCCUAAGUUCUAAACAGGGAGAAAAUAAUGCAUUUGUGAAUUAGUACAUAAAUGUACGGCGUCACUACAAAAGUCACUGCUAGAAUAUGAAUGUGAAGGUUCUCAUCUAUUUAUUCUCCCCAGUAGAACUUAAAGGAUUUAUUAUGUACUCUCACUAGUGACAGUGAAACACUAACUAGUAAAACUACCUACCUUUGUCACAAGAGCUAUGAAAUAUUGCACAUAAGUACAACUGAAAAGUGUCUUUUAGCAUAACCUUUAGAGAAGAACUUUCUUAAAUACAGGAAGGCUUUAUUUACUCUGCAGUACUUAGCUUCCCUUCCCUUCCAACCCAAGCUGCUGUAUCACAACACAAAGAUCUGAUUUACCAGAAGUUAACUGUUUUCUUAACUGGCCUACUAGCCCAUAGUUUGCAACUUUUCAGAUCACCUUUACCUGUAAAAAUAAUCAGCACGCUAACUUACGCUUAGGCCACGAGACCUUCUGUAGGAACUGCUAAGUGUAGAAAUCCCUGCUUAGUAGAGCUUACAGAUAGCUUUUUUAAAACUGAAGUCUUCUGUUAUAUAAGAAUAUAAGUUCCUCUCAUGUGCAGGUCUCACCACAAAGCUGGGAACUAAGUUUUCAUAACAUGCUACAUUGCUGCUUCGUGAAAACAUUUCCAAUACAAUUAACAAUAAGCAAGUGUUGUGAGAAGUGAACAGCAGAAGCUCUGUAGCACCUAACCUCUGAGUUGGCUGGACAGGCAGUAGUCCCACAGGUACACUUGCACUUCUACACAUACAGGAGUCUAAAUGGAAGAAACAUUCCUGUAAAGUAUCAUUCUCACAAGUGUAGGUAUUGAAUAGGUAUUUUUAUUUCAAAACAGAGGCAAAAACAGAAAAAUCUGCUUAAUAAACAUAAAAACAUGCACAAUCUCCUAUAAUAUUGAGACAGCUUUACUUAUGUAGAAUGUAGAAAAGCUCUUAAAGUAAAACCAUACUAAUUUAGAGCUAAAGGAAGUCUCAGUAUAGCAUACUGAUUUUCUACAUAUGUAAGUAAAGUAAAA